rnacentral:miRNA from 1 species
UAUUACAAAUGGGAAAUUGAUAAUCAGAUGAUCAAACUGAUUAUCAAUUUCCCAUUUGUAAUA